AUUUGUUCUCUGGAUUAUCAGCUCUGAGACAGGAAUCCUGUCUGGAAAAUAACUGUUUGACAAAAACUUGGCUAAUAAUACAGAAAGAGGAGAAAACGAACGGCAGAACGGAAGCUAAGCAAUGAGAUCCGAAGGAGCACAGAGUUUGCUGGGAGGAGUCUGGUCAGCACUCCAGCUGUGGCACGCGCCUGCUCUUUGAUGAUCCUUCUACCCAUUGCUGCAGCAGAAGUGUAACAGACCGCAAGGAAGUUGAUAUCGUAAAUCGUGGAGUGAGGCUUCACAGGUGGAUUUGUGCAGAGUGCCUGGCCUGAUGCGAGUUCAGACUCAAUGAAGGCUACUCAGUGGAGACCGACAGCUUCUGCGGAGAGCAAAGGUUCAUUUUAUUGGGUGGGAAAGAAGCGGAAGAUACGACAGAGAGAAAGAAU
rnacentral:lncRNA from 1 species